AGUGUAGAAAAGGCAAGAUGUUGGCAUAGCUGUUGUUGCCAAAAAACCAGCUGUACCUACAUAUUGCCAUUUGUCCACUUG
rnacentral:pre_miRNA from 1 species